rnacentral:lncRNA from 1 species
AUGAGACAGAAUAACAGUAGUACAGAAUUUGUUCUCCUGGGCUUUUCUCAGGAUCCUGAUGUGCAAAAUGCGCUAUUUGUCAUGUUUUUACUGACAUACAUUGUGACAAUGGUGGGGAACCUACUCAUUGUGGUGACUAUUAUUGCCAGCCCUUCCUUGGGCUCCCCAAUGUACUUUUUCCUUGCCCACCUGUCAUUUAUAGAUGCUGUGUAUUCCACCACCAUUUCUCCUGUAUUGAUUGUAGACUUACUCUGUGACAAAAAGACGAUUUCCUUCUGAGCUUGCAUGGGACAACUGUUUAUAGACCACUUAUUUGGUGGUUCUGAGGUCUUCCUUCUGGUGGUGAUGGCCUGUGAUCGCUGUGUGGCCAUCUGUAAGCCACUGCACUAUUUGACCAUCAUGAAUCGACAGGUUUGCAUUCUUCUCUUGGUGUUGGCUGUGACUGGAGGUUUUGUGCAUCCUGUAUUUCAAGUUGUUGUUGUGUACAGUCUCCCUUUCUGUGGCCCCAAUGUCAUUGACCACUUUUUCUGUGACAUAUACCCUUUAUUUGGAACUGGCAUGCACUGACACCUACUUUAUAGGCCUCACUGUGGUUUUCAAUGGUGGAGCAAUGCGUAUGGUCAUCCUCACCCUUCUACUAGUCUUCUAUGGAGUCAUCCUAAACUCCCUUAAAACUUACAGUCAGGAAGGGAGGCAUAAAGCCCUGUCUACCUGCAGCUCCCAUUUUACCGUGGUUAUCUUGUUUUUUGCUUCCUGUAUUUUCAUAUAUGUUAGACCUGUUUCAAAUUUUCUGUUGAUAAAUUCAUGACUGUGUUUUAUACGGUUAUCACACCCAUGUUGAAUCCUUUUAUAUGCAUGUUGAGAAAUUCAGAGAUGAGAAAUGCUAUAGAAAAACUCCUGUGUAAA